AUACAGGAUAUUUCUCUGGGAACCAGAGGGACAGGGACAAAUAAGGCAGAAGAGCCAAGACCUUCCCAAUUCUUCAGCUGUAAUGAUGUCCCUAGACAAGUGGAGAAUUUGAGUGGAAGAGAAUAGCAAAGAUGAAUGCCAAGGUGAGGACAAAAUUCUCAUGCCCUGAGGUCAGAAGAGGAGAGAUGGAGUUAGGAAGGCAGAUCUGUUGCUAAGCACCAAGCAUCUCUCAGUUGGAAAGUACAGCGUAGAAGCAGAACAGAAGGCCUAUGAAAGAAAAGUGUGUGCCUGGUGACAAUGAAGAUGAUGCGCUAGGCCUAUGUACCUGCACCUAGCAACAGUUUCCAGUAACAACCAGACAGAAGGGAAUGACAGCAUUGUGUCUUACAGAGGGAGCGUGGUUCAUGAAGCUCAUGUAAUAAUUCUCUCGCAUGCAAAACCACAUUUCCCAGAAAUCCUUACUCUAUAAAUGACCAUUCCAUAGUGGGAGAUCAACAGUUAAAGAAGCAUUUGGUCAAUUUAUUCCAAGUACUACAAACUUCUGCCUGGUUAUAUAUGAACCACUUACAACAAAUUAACCUUAAAUUUCUUCCAUUAACUGUGUAGCAAAUUAAAGGCAAGUUUACUCGUGCCUUGGACUAUGCAGCAUCUGUUAAAAAAGCUUUACUGAAGCACAUUUAUAAACUUAAAUAACUAUAAUUGAGGGGAAAAUACUUAACUAAUAGCACCAUUCUGGAAAAAAAACAAACCACCAGGAAGAUGGGGCAUACUUAGUGUAGUAACUUAAGGUUUAAGAGCUCUGAGAUUUUUUUAAGUGUAUUAUACUUCCCCAGCACCAAUGAAGAUGAGGAUGUUUCAGAUGCAGACCUUUACCUUGCAUGAACUUAUACGGUCCUAGUAAGAGAUGCUGAAAAGGUUUGGAUGCUUAACCUCCAAACCUUGAUGCUUUGAACUUUUGUUCUCCCUUUUAACCUUUUAUACCAUUGAUUCCAGCUGCCAGGUCAAAGAACAGUCUAAAGAUCUGCAAUACAUAACACCCAGAGAUUAACUAGUAUUGUAAACUUCAUCUGCCUACAGACAAGACUGUACUCAGCACGCCAGCACAAGUUCAAGUGAAUUUGUAUGUGCAACUUGUCAGAGUCUGCUUGUCAGACUCAGGCAUUCAAGAAACUAUGGUGGUACUCAGUAACCCACCAAAGCUGUAAUCUCCAUCAUCUCCUGAGACCAAUGGCAGCCAAAUAAUAAUGACCUACAUACUGGAAACCAGUAUAAAAUUUACAAACACAGGUCAAAGUCAGUAAUCAGACAUAAGUGAGGGUGGGGGUUUAGAAAGUCAAUGGCAGGUUUUAGGGGUGAUGCACAGAAAGGAUGGUAACAUGGGAAGACAUCCAAUACAGGAGACUACCAGCAGGAGAAAAUCUGAGGCAGGUGGAGCAGAAGCAAGCAGAGGCAGAUAAAAGGAUUAAGUAAAUUUGAUAGAGAAACUAGGUAGUACUACAUGAAGGACCUGAAGCCUGGCUGUUGAAAGAAAAUAGGGUUAGCAAGAAGUUAGAGAGCUUCAUACAAAUUCAUGUACCAUUCUAACAGGACCAAGUCAAACAUUUCUACCUGCCCUUAAAGGAACAGCUGCUUAGUGUAUACUUUCUUUCCCCUCCCUCCCCACCCCUAGCUCGGUGACUGGUGCCUCCUGGGUCUGGGAGGGGCACCUGGGGUCCCCCUUCAGCCAAAUUGCUGAGCCAGAGGGAGGUGCCCCCCCUCAUGCUUCCUGGCAGACCUGGAAGUGGACUGGAACUGCUUCCAAUUCACUUCUGGGUUCACCACCAAGCAUGUGGAUGGUUCCCCUGGACUCCUGUGGGAUGCUCCAUGUGCCCCAGCGUCACAGCCUUCACAAGCCUACCUCAAGGCACGUAGAAAAAACACCAUUUCAAGUUGUACCUAUGUCCAAAUCAACAUCAAAUCUUCAGACUCGGCUGAAUUGAAUCAGUCCCCAAUUCGGGCUGAAUUCAAGUUGAAUAAGACCCGCUUUGCAUACCUCUAUCCAACCUAAGCUUCCCUUGCCACAAUGCAAAACCAUUGCUCCUUGUCCUACUCCAUGCAGCUGGAUGGAAUAGCCAAUAUCAUCCCCUUUUUGAAGGAGCCUAUAGGUAUUAGAACACAGCAAACUCUUUAGUCCAAAGAGUAGUAACUUGUCUUCUUUCAACUUGACUGAAUUAAUCUCCUAGACCUCUGCACUGGACUCUUCUAUUUCUCCACAUUUUUUCCUUGAAGUGCAAUGCUCAGAACUAGACUCAAGGGGAGACCUCACUAGUACUGAAGUGGUGGAUGGAUCACAUCCCUCAUUGAGGGAUGGGUUUGUUUUUAUAAACGUUUAGAUUGGAAGAAGAUACAACUUACCAGAAAUCAGUUUUGCACUUUUUAAAUUGGGGAGGGGUAGGACAGAAAGGGAGGACAGGGUUCAUUGUAGUGAUUGGUAUUAGUAUCUUCCUAGGUAAAGGCUUUAAAAAAUAAAUAAAUAAGAUGAAGGCUCAGCUAUGGGAGAGAUCAGUGAGAGAGGGGAAUUAGGGAUGAAAGACAACACAGUUUUGUUUGUUUGUUUAAACAGUAAAGUGCUUUGCUGCUGCUCCUACCAGCUGACAUUUUCCAAGGGUAGCCUUGAAUCUAAGAAGUUUGACACACAUUUGAUGGGCCGCCUCUAUCAAACAAACCACAGCAGAAUUUGCAAGUAUUUUACUGUUGGAUAAAAAUCCUGUGCCUAGGUUUAGGUCCCCCCCUCCCACCCCCCUGUGAAGCCACAGCUUGCUGGAAAUCGGAAGAGGGGCAGAGGAGGAAGGAAUGUGUGCAACAAAGAUACAGAAGCCCCAAGAGACCCCUUCAUCACUUACCAUCACCCUCCAAUAAAAGUUGAAUUUCUAGAAAUUGGCAAUACUGACUACAUACG